UCACUUACCUGGCGCGGGGAGUGCGGUGAUCAAUCAGGCCGCCUCUCCAGGUCGAGGCCCAUCCAUUGCACUUCGGUUGGGCUGAAGCCUGCGAUUUCCCCAAAUGUGGGAAACUCGAGCGCGUAAUUUUUGUUAGGGGGGAUUCGCGUUCGCGCGGUCCCCAA